AAAAAAAAAAAAAAAAAGUCCUGAUUUUAUGCGGCUUUUUAAAAAUACUUUUCCUGGCAAUUUGGUUUCAGUUUUUCCAAACAUAACCUAGUUGAAGAUGAACAGCGUUGCUGGCUUCAUCAACAUUGCACUCAGUUUCAUUAUCUAUUAUAGGAUGACAAAACUUCUGGCAGGGGUGGGUGGAGACUGAUUCUUUGUUGGGUUGGAGAACUUUCAGUAUGAAUGGGGAUAUCCUUAUUAGAACUUCUGCUUAACUAUUAGUUGUGUUGGGAACCAACUACUAUGUUGCAUUUGUAGUUUCGAAGAAGAACCAUUAAUGGAUAAUCAGUAAAGCCAAAAUGCAAUGAUACUACAUGCUUGAGCUUCAUCUAGGACAGCAGUGUCGUGUUGAGCGUUGAAACUCCAUUGGCAAAGCGAGAAAGCGACCAGUGAGAAGAGGCGAUGCCCCUCAGAAAUUAGAAGAUAAAAGUGGGAGCUUUUUGCAUUGCAUUUACUCUGAAUUUCAAUAGAAAAAAAAAAAGAAAAAGAGGGUAAAGCAUGGAAGGACCAUUUGUAAUUUUGUUUGCCUGAGAGACCCAACGAAAGCGAAGUGACUG